AAGGGGCGNUUUNAANAAAGCGGGGGUGGUUAUUAUUUAGUACAAAAGCUGGAAUAACAAUACAAGACGAGAAGACCCUGUGGAGCUUUAAAUUAUAGACCAAAAUAAACCACCAUAAAUAUUUAUGCCAAACAAUUUUAAGUUGGGGCGACUUCGGAAAAAAACUUAACUUCCAAGCACAAGAGAUGACAUCUUAAUUUAGGUUUACCAACCAAAACAAAAAUUGACCCAGUACUACUGAUCAACGAACCAAGUUACCCCAGGGAUAACAGCGCUAUCUUCUUCAAGAGUCCCUAUCGCCAAGAAGGUUUACGACCUCGAUGUUGGAUCAGGACACCCAAAUGGUGCAGCCGCUAUUAAAGGUUCGUUUGUUCAACGAUUAACAGUCCUACGUGA
rnacentral:rRNA from 1 species